UGGACAUUUUGGCUCCUAAUCCACCUUUUCUUCAAAUUGCUGUCUUCAUCAAGGUCAGAAGCUUUAGGUUCUUGUAGCAAGCAGCUCAAUCCCAGAGACAGAAGAUUCUGCCAUCCAGGCUGUAGGGCUCCCACAAGCUGAUUGCAUGUUCAUGUGGGCUGAUGGUGGGUCAUGUGAACAGACUCUGGCUUGGGCUGGCAGAAAGCUGUUUACUUGCAUGGAAGAGGAACAAGAAGGACAUGACACCUGACAAUUGAGACUGAAAUGGGACAACUGGCUGGAUGUUAAGGUCUGCUUUAAGGCUCGUCAGUUCUGCAUGAAAGGAAAAGCCGAGGAGGAGACUGUCUCAAAUCUCUGGAGGACCCCUGAAGUCUGCUGUGGGGCUUAACAUCACUUGAACACAGAGAGGAGGAAGAAAUUGCAGCGCAUCAGUGAAGAUCCACGUGCAGUGUCAGGUCCUGUGGUAUUGGAGUUGCUGCUAAAUAACCACUCUCAUCUGGUCUGCACCCACCCAGGAACCAUCCAUCCUUCCCCAGCCUGGUUGUGCUUCUUCUGCACUUUAUCUGUAUUAUUGACUGAGACUGUGCUUGGGGUGAAGCAUCAUUGAUUGCUGGAUUGGUGAUUUACUCUAAUGCUUUAUUUCCUACUUUAUCUCCUGGAUCAUCGAAAGAUCAAAGUGUGAAGAUACUAAUCUGUGCCAUAGCUUUUGUUGAGGAAGAAACUGUGGUAGGCGUACUUAAUUGA
rnacentral:lncRNA from 1 species